UGUUAUAAAUAUUUCUGUUCAUGCGUUC
rnacentral:sRNA from 1 species